UCUGCUAUGUUUUUAAAUAGAAUUAUGAUAUGGUGCAAUGAUGAUUGACCAUUACUGAUAUAGGUACGCUCUUGAGCAAUCAAGCAAGCUGCUUAGCUUUUGAUAUAUUCCUUUUUGCCAAACUUGAUGUGUCGAGCUUUGAGCUACAAACUUGAUGGAAUGUGCUUGGCCGUGGAAGAGGGGGUGGCACUAUCUUUCCUCCUUCAGAUCAGGGUGUUCCUCCUGCUGUGAUUGAGUCUGGUGUUUUUCCUCGG